UUGGUCCAUUCUUCGUCGAAGGAAAACAGAAGGGUCGAUGAGAGGGAGAUGAAAAAGGUCGACGAUUUGGAGAGUCAAUAAUUGAACGGUGUCGGAGCAGCUAAUCGAUCGGUGAUGGAGGAGAAAAUCGAUGGAGCAGCAUGGCCGAUGGAGGAGCAAAUCGAUCAGUGAUGGAUCACUAAAUCGUCAGAGCAUUAAUCGAAGGUAACGAGUUUUAAGGUUUUUUGUGAAUUUUUGAGUUUAAAUUGCGAAUUGGAGAUGAAUCCAGUAUCUGCAUAAGGUUUAAAUCUGAAAUUUCCGAGUUUCUUUUUGUGAAUUUUGCAUUCUCGGUGCUUUAGGGUUUAUAUUCAAAAAUUGGACCCUCGAGUAUCCGCAUAGUGUUUUUUUUUAAUUGGCUUUAUCUGGUUAACAAUUUUGGUUGUCUGAGUUCCUCUGUAGUUAAAAAUGCCUCGCACUUGCUUGAAUUUGGUCAGUUUUGAGUUUAUUUCUCAACUUCAUUAUCUGUGAUAUAUCAGUGUGAAUUUUUCUUGUACCUGAUUACUCAGUGGGUUCAUGUAGAAUCACCUAUGUUGUUUAAGAUGGAGCAUGUUGUUUGGUUUUUGUUCUUGUUUUGGAUAUCCUCUACGACCUCUUUCUGCUUAUACUUGUAAUCGGUUAAGUGUUUGUUCACUAGUUUGUUAGGUGAAAGAGUUAAAAGUCUUGUUGCUUAUACUCGUAAUCGGUUAACUAUCAGUUUGAUUGCCAAAAGACUUGUUUGUGAUAAAUGCUUGUUAGUAGUUUGUUAGGUGAAAGAGUUAAAGGUCUUGUUGUGAUAAAUGCUUGUUAUUAGUCUUAUUUAGAUUAUUUUAACUUGACUUUGUUUUUGUGAGGUUAAAUGGAGGACCACUUUACAGCUGCUCUUCAAGUCCCCACCGAAUCCUUUUCAGCUCAAUCGCAAGGAUUCUGUAAAAGGACAACUUGGAGAAGAAGUGGCUGCCAAUACAGAUCACGGGUCAAGUAAAAAGAGGAAGUGCCAAAUAUUGAUGAUCACGGGUCAAGUAAAAAGAGGACAAGAUCAAGUAUGGGUCCAUAUUGCUUUUGUUUUGUAGUAUGGCAACCCACAUAUUUGUGAAGUUAAUGUAAACCACACAUGUGUAACAUAACUGAACCACGUAUUAUUUUGUAAAAACUUUCUAUUCUUAUAUAAAUGUAAACCAAUCGAUUUCUAAUUC